rnacentral:rRNA from 1 species
AGGAUUAACGCUGGCGGCGUGCCUAAUGCAUGCAAGUCGAACGGGGUUCCUUCGGGGGCUUACGUGGCGGACGGGUGAGGAACACGUGGGGAAUCUGUCCCGAGGUGGGGGGUAGCCCGCGGAAACGUGGGGUAAUUCCGCAUGAGCACGCUCUUUGAGUAGGGGGAGCGUGGAAAGAUCUUCGGAUCGCCUUGGGGGGAGCCUGCGGCCGAUUAGCUAGUUGGUGGGGUAACGGCUUACCAAGGCAGUGAUCGGUAGCUGGUCUGAGAGGACGGCCAGCCACAUGGGGGACUGAGACACGGCCCCAACUCCUACGGGAGGCAGCAGCAAGGAAUUUCCGCAAUGGGCGAAAGCCUGACGGAGCAACGCCGCGUGCGGGAUGACGCUUUUCGGAGUGUAAACCGCUUUUCUCAGGGAAGAUGAAGGACGGUACCUGAGGAAUAAGGCCCGGCUAACUACGCGCCAGCAGCCGC